rnacentral:rRNA from 1 species
AUUGAACGCUGGCGGCAUGCCUUACACAUGCAAGUCGAACGGCAGCACGGGUGCUUGCACCUGGUGGCGAGUGGCGAACGGGUGAGUAAUAUAUCGGAACGUACCUUAUUGUGGGGGAUAACGCAGCGAAAGCUGUGCUAAUACCGCAUAAUCCCUAAGGGGGAAAGCGGGGGACCGUAAGGCCUCGCGCAAUUAGAGCGGCCGAUACCUGAUUAGCUAGUUGGUGAGGUAAAGGCUCACCAAGGCAACGAGCAGUAGCUGGUCUGAGAGGACGAUCAGCCACACUGGGACUGAGACACGGCCCAGACUCCUGCGGGAGGCAGCAGUGGGGAAUUUUGGACAAUGGGGGCAACCCUGAUCCAGCAAUGCCGCGUGAGUGAAGAAGGACUUCGGGUUGUAAAGCUCUUUUGUCAGGGAAGAAACAGCAGCUCUAACACAGUAUGCGAAUGACGGUACCUGAAGAAUAAGCACCGGCUAACUACGUGCCAGCAGCCGCGGUAA